UUCAGUAUAAAGCUCUGUCAGUAUAAAGCUCUUUCAGUAUAAAGCUCUGUCAGUAUAAAGCUCUUCAGUAUAAAGCUCUUUCAGUAUGAAGCUCUGUCAGUAUACAGCUCUGUCGGUAUAAAGGUCUGUCGGUAUAAAGGUCUGUCGGUAUAAAGCUCUUUCAGUAUAAAGCUCUGUCGGUAUAAAGCUCUGUCGGUAUAAAGCUCUGUCAGUAUUAAGCUCUGUCAGUAUAAAGCUCUUUCGGUAUAAAGCUCUGUCGGUAUAAAGCUCUUUCGGUAUAAAGCUCUGUCGGUAUAAAGCUCUUUCGGUAUAAAGCUCUUUCAGUAUAAAGCUCUGUCAGUAUAAAGCUCUUUCAGUAUAAAGCCCUGUCAGUAUAAAGCUCUUUCAGUAUAAAGCUCUUUCAGUAUAAAGGUCUGUCAGUAUAAAGCUCUGUCAGUAUAAAGCUCUGUCAGUAUAAAGCUCUUUCAGUAUAAAGCUCUGUCAGUAUAAAGCUCUUUCAGUAUAAAGCUCUGUCGGUAUAAAGCUCUUUCGGUAUAAAGGUCUGUCGGUAUAAAGCUCUUUCGGUAUAAAGCUCUUUCGGUAUAAAGCUCUGUCAGUAUAAAGCUCUUUUAGUAUAAAGCUCUUUUAGUAUAAAGCUCUGUCAGUAUACAGCUCUGUCAGUAUAAAGCUCUUUCAGUAUAAAGGUCUGUCGGUAUAAAGCUCUUUCGGUAUAAAGCUCUUUCGGUAAAAGCUCUGUCAGUAUAAAGCUCUGUCGGUAUAAAGCUCUUUCGGUAUAAAGCUCUGUCGGUAUAAAGCUCUUUCGGUAUAAAGCUCUGGCAGUAUAAAGCUCUGUCAGUAUAAAGCUCUUUUAGUAUAAAGCUCUUUCAGUAUCAAGCUCUUUUAGUAUAAAGCUCUUUCAGUAUAAAGCUCUGUCAGUAUAAAGCUCUUUCAGUAUAAAGCUCUUUCAGUAUAAAGCUCUUUCAGUAUAAAGCUCUGUCAGUAUAAAGCUCUUUCAGUAUACAGCUCUGUCAGUAUAAAGCUCUUUCAGUAUAAAGCUCUUUCAGUAUAAAGGUCUGUCGGUAUAAAGCUCUUUCAGUAUAAAGCUCUGUCAGUAUAAAGCUCUUUCAGUAUAAAGCUCUGUCAGUAUAAAGCUCUUUCAGUAUAAAGCUCUUUCAGUAUAAAGCUCUGUCAGUAUAAAGCUCUGUCGGUAUAAAGCUUGGACCAACCGGCUUUAAAACAAUCCUCCCUGAAGCCAAAAUGAGCCGCGGGUCAGAAUCUGGUCUGAAGUCCUUCUUGUGACUUGUGCGGCUCACAUGCAGAAGCUGCAUGAAGCAUCCUGUGUGUGUGUGUGUGUGUGUGUGUGUGUGUGUGUGUGUGUUCCUCUGGUGAAACAACCAUCACCGAUUGAGCAACGUGAUCUCUUUUACACCUGUGUGUUUGAGUGUGUAAGUGGGCCAGCGUCCUUAAACCAACAGUUGGGUCUAUUAAUAGCAGCCGCUGGUACCUUGUGGGUCAGUCACCUCCCUCACCUUCACCCUCCCUCUCCUCUUCCUCCUCCAAAACCAAACGCACCUCUGCUGCUACGUCCAGUUUGUGUUGCAACUCAGGGACUUUCUGUGGGUUAGAGUUGAGUUUUUAUUUAUUGUACCUUUAUUGUUCACCGGACUUUACCAGAACCAUCUGGGAAGUGGUCAUUGUUUGGAAAAGAGCUCAGCAGGUGAUCGGUCUAUCACCGGGGAACGAACCACAUAACGUAGUCAGAGUCUUGAUGCUAGCAGCAAACGUUAAGCUCUUCAGCAGAAACCAAUGUUGUUUAACGAACAGCCGCCUCUCGUCUCUUCAGAAACCUGUUGGGGGGGCGUCACGGAGACUAUACAGUAUAUAGUCACACACUAUCCCAUUUUACAGAGGCCGAUUUCAUUCAAUUUAUUUAAAAAACCUAAAAUUAUUAUUAUUAUUAUUGUUCAACACGUCUCCAGGAACCUCUGUGAUGAUUUCCAUGUUGUUUUAAUAAUUAAAUGUUUAACACACAUAUAUUACUGUAUAAGCAGAUUCUUGUUCCUGAUCUCAUAAUUACGAGAUCUUUUCUUGUAAUUAUGACAGAAGGUGUUUAAUUUUUUCUGUGAAUGCAAAGUGCUUUAUGCUCAAGUCAAAAACAGGAAAUUAAAUCACGGUGAAAAGGGGUGAGUGAAAGUUAAACAUUUUCGUAUAAUAAAAAGUCUCAGGUCUAAAAUCCUGUCAGACAUUUUAUUCCGGGUUGAAGCAGCACGGACACACACGGGCAAAACAGACAUUUUCUUUGGUUCUGUUUUCUAUUGAUUUUAUUUUUAUAUGAAAAAUGAAAAUCCCAAAAUCUUUUUGACCAUAAAAAGAAAAUAACACCAUAAUUUAAUAUUU